rnacentral:rRNA from 1 species
AUUGAACGCUGGCGGCAGGCCUAACACAUGCAAGUCGAACGGUAGCACGGGGGCAACCCUGGUGGCGAGUGGCGAACGGGUGAGUAAUACAUCGGAACGUGCCCAGUCGUGGGGGAUAACGUAGCGAAAGUUACGCUAAUACCGCAUACGAUCUACGGAUGAAAGCGGGGGACCGUAAGGCCUCGCGCGAUUGGAGCGGCCGAUGUCAGAUUAGGUAGUUGGUGAGGUAAAGGCUCACCAAGCCGACGAUCUGUAGCUGGUCUGAGAGGACGACCAGCCACACUGGGACUGAGACACGGCCCAGACUCCUACGGGUGGCAGCAGUGGGGAAUUUUGGACAAUGGGCGCAAGCCUGAUCCAGCCAUUCCGCGUGCAGGACGAAGGCCUUCGGGUUGUAAACUGCUUUUGUACGGAACGAAAAGGCUCUGGUUAAUACCUGGGGCUCAUGACGGUACCGUAAGAAUAAGCACCGGCUAACUACGUGCCAGCAGCCGCGGUAA